rnacentral:rRNA from 1 species
GAUGAACGCUGGCGGCGUGCCUAAUACAUGCAAGUCGAGCGAACGGACGAGACUCUUGCUUUUCUGUUGUUAGCGGCGGACGGGUGAGUCACACGUGGAUACCCUACCUAUAAGACUGGUAUCACUUCGGGAAACCGGCUCUAAUCCCGUAUAAUCUUUUGCACCGCAUGGUUCAAAAGUGAGAUACGGUCUUUCUGUCACUUAUCGAUGGAUCCGCGCUUCAUUAGCUAGUUGGUACGGUAACGGCUUACCAAGGCAACGAUGCAUAGCCGACCUGAGAGGGGGAUAGGCCACACGGGAACGGAGACACGGACAAGACGACUAAGGGAGGGAGCAGUAGGGAACCGGCGGCAAUAGGCGAAAGCAUGACGGAGUAACGCCGAGUGAGAGAUGAAGGGAUUCGGAGCGGAAAAAUCUGUUAUGAGGGAAGAACAUAUGUGGAAGGAAAUGAGCAGAGAGUGACGGUAACGAAUCAGAAAGCAACGGCUAACUACGUG